CACAAUUCCUCAGAAACAAAAAAAAAAAAAAUCCUGUUUGAUCAAGUGGAGAUUUAUUCUUAGAUUAGGUUUUGACGGUACUUCGAAAAGUUUGAUUUGGCGUGAAUCUUCUACCAUCGUCUGGGUUUUUGUGGUGAUUAUGGGUUUCCAAGAAAAAGCUUGUCUCUGCUUUUGAAACCCGUCGUCGAGGUAUGUAUAUCGCUCUCUCCCGAUUUCAUCUAUUUUGUUUUUUUGGUUUUUGGUUUUGUUUCUCAGUUUUGGAGGGAGGAUUGAAAUUGAAUGAGAGAAACAAUGUUUUAUCAGUUCUCGUCGAUGAUUUUGUUUUGCAACUGGUGAAAUCUGAUUUUGAGAUUUUGAUUCAAGAAGCAAAAUUCUUCUUUCAAUAAGAUUUCAAAAGCCUUUUUUGAUUAUUCCACAAAACGUUUUGGUUUUUGUUUUUGAUGGUUUUGUUUUGCAAUUGAUGACAUCUAAUCUUAGAAAUUUUGAUCCAAAAAGCAAAAUUCUUCUUUUAACAAGAUUUCAAAGCUUUUUUUUGUUGUUCUACGGAACUCUUUGUUUUUUUUUUGAUGGUUUUGUUUUUCUUUCAAAAACCCAAAAAGAUUCAUGGGCAGACACUAAUCUAAUAGUGUUAUGUCUGAUUCUAUUUGGGGACAUUGUCCCGAACAAAAAAGCUGCAAACAGAAUGUGAGUAUGGGAUCUAUUGGAUUAGUAGUGCAUGCAUGUUGGGAGAUGGAAUAAGAUUGGAUAAGAAUGAGAAUGACCAACGGAUUAAUAUUGGAUUGGUAGUGCAUGCAUGUUGGGAGAUGGAAUAAGAUUGGAUGGGAAUGAGAAUGACCAACGGCUUAAUAUUGGAUUGGUAAUGCAUGCAUGUUGGGAGAUGGGAUAAGAUUGGAUGGGAAUUAGAAGGACCAACAGCUUAAUAAGUCUUUAGACAGAGACUAAAUAAAGGGGAAAAAAGAAAAAGAAAGAAAGAGUUCUCAGUUUUACUACCACCGGCUUAGAAAAACCGUAACACAAAGAAAAAGUUCAAGACAUUGGGUUGGAUAGUAAAAACGACCAACUACUUGUUAAAUGGCUUAAAGGAGGAAGCAUUAGACAAAGGUACUUGACAAAGUACUAUAUGGAGGGUUAAUUGUUGGAUGGUAAAAACGACCAACAUGGUUGGAUGGUUAAAACGACCAACAUGGUUGGAUGGUAAAAACGACCAACAGCUCAAGAAAAAGACUAUGGAGGGUUAGUCUCGUUGGAUGGUAAAACGACCAACAACUUAUGAAAUCGCUUCAAAAAUGAGGCAUAAGACAAAAGUACUUGACUACUACUAUGGACUGGUUACUUGUUGGAUUGUAAAAACGACCAACAGCUCAUGACAAAGAUUAUGGAGGUUAAAGUUUCGGUUGGAUGGUAAAAACGACCAACACUUUGUUAAAUAUCUUAAAAAGGAGGCAUAAGAGAAAUGAGGCAUAAGACAAAAGUACUUGACUAGUGCUAUGGCCUGGUUAAGAUAAUGACUGAACCGAAGCUAAUAAACUUGCGGCUUAAAAAGUCUUGAAUAAAAACUGAGCCUUAUACAGAUACAACCAAUAGCUUCGAAGAAAGAGGUAAGUAUCUAGCAUUAACGUGAUAUGGAGACUAACCAAUUUUUAUUUCUUCAAGUGAUUUGCUUCUGAAGGCGUUCAAAUUGAUAGACUUUGAAGAGUUUCUAGUGUAGCAGACUUCUUAAACAGGAAUAAGAUUAUGAUGGAAUCUUGUUUUGCUCUCUCAACAACUACAAAAAUGAACAACGCGUAUAUGGUGAUGUUGUGGGUAAGCAUGUCAAUGUCAAUCCUCAGGUAUGGUUAUAUUUUCUCAAUAUUUAAGCAUCGUGUUCUAGUUUUUAUAUGUUAUAAUGGUUCAACACAGGUUGGUUACGAUUUAACUUUUCCUGUUUGCUUCAAUUUUUUUCAAGUUCAUCCAUCUCAAUGUAGCUACUUGGCACAUGAAUUCAUUGUUUGGUAUCAGGGACAAGAAGCUUCAAUGGUUUCUGGAUUAGGUGAAGACACAUCCAAUAGAGCUCAUUGCUAGCUAGGUUCUCCCAUUACAAAGUUUUGGACUAGUGAAGAGUUACGACAUGCCCUGCAAUAUCCAAUCUGCAUCGCUUGAGCCCAAAUCUGGCAACAAAUUCGUUGCUGGUGGAGAAGAUAUGUUGGUUGGACUAUGUGAUUUCCACACUGUAGAGGAGAUUGGUGAGUUUGGUAUUCAUUUUGUUUGGUAUGGUGGAGAAUCUGUCUCCCCAUUGUGAUCAAUCAAUUACCACAACUAAAGCUCUGCAUCGUUGUGAUCAAUUACCACAACUCCAGCAAAGAUGAUGAAGUGAUCGUUGAGCAAGAACCUAAAAGAGAGAGCUGAAGAGAUUAGAGAAGAGUAGUUGUAUACAUUGAAAGAUAAGUUUUUUUAUUUAAAAAUUAUAUAGAUUUUUGUUUAUAUUUUUCUUUGUCACUUUUUUAUAACAAUUAGCUACAACACAAUACACACUAAAUUAGACUUAUCUCACCAAUUUAUAACAAGUUCAUGACAACUAACUGUGUAGCUAACUGUCAGAAAUUAGCGACGACCAUUUUGUGGUUUCUUGAAGAUAAUUGUUACGCAUAUGUCAGACACAUUGUGUAACAAAUAGCUACAACGAAAAGGUAUCAAUUAAUAACAAUUUGCUACAUUUUAAUUAAUAUCUAAACUGUAGCACUUUGCGACAAUUAGCUAUGAGGGAGAAUUUUUGCUACGAACAAAUAGUUACUAACUUUUUUUGUCACAAAUCUAUAAUAACUUUUUUUUUGCUACAAAAAUCAUGUUAUACUACUGACAAAUAUUUCCGUAACUAUACAAAACUUUUUUUUUAGUGAUGUGUCACUGCCAGAGAGUGUUGUGCACUUUUUAGCGAAAUAGACUUAA